UCGCCAGACACAUUCACAUUGCCCAGCCUUGUCUGUUGUCUAUCUCUCUGGUUUAUCUCUGCUUCUGCCUGGCCUAAAAUGCCUACCCAUCUAUUCAAGGUUAGAGAGAGUAGUAAGAAGCUAGUCCACCUUUCCAUACAUAUAUCUAACAUUUCAAACCUAUAAUGAUCUAUGCGUUUGAUUUUGUUCUUUCAUUCACCUAUGGAGGAGGAGGAGGAGGAGAAAGAAGGGAAUAAGUAUGAGGAGAGAAGAAUACGAAGAAGAGAAGGGAGAAGUAGGAAGACCCAGAAGAGGGAGAAAUGAGAGAACAAAAACAACAGCAAAAUAAGAAAGACUUAACCCUCAUUUCCAGCACCCUCUUCUGUUCUUUAGCUUGUUCGUAACCUUCAUUUCACCUUAUAAUCGUGUUUGCAUGAUCUCGCCCCUCUCAUUAUCUUGUUCCAUUCACCCAUAACCUUGCUAAACCAGUUCUUGCAUCAUGUCCUUCGAGUCCUGCCCGUCAUGUACCCCUUUAUUAUCACCCCAUGUAUCCCUUCAGCCCUUUACCAGCCAGAUCAUGUUUCCCUUUUAACCUUUUACCCCUUAUAUAUUCUUCUUCUGACCUGUAACGCUUUGUAUCGCUUCUUAGGUCCUCCUCCUCUCGUUCCUUCUUAUUUACACUUUCCUUUUCAGUAUUACGUCACUUUCUUAACUGCAAUGGUCACUCAUUUAAGCAUCUGUGCCCUUUUUUUCCCAGCACUGCGCGAGGAACACUUUAGCCAGCUUUACCAUUCUUCUCUCCGUUUCCUUUUUGUCUCCAGAUAUCCCCAACACUUUGCAGAUUGCCCCGCUGUCCUUUAAUCUAGCCCAUUCCUCUCUGCCCUCUUUCCCCUAAAACCCCCUACCCACCACCACCAUCCCAUGUAUCCCCUUUAUCCCUUUACCAGUCACAUCAUGUAUCCCUUUAGCCUUUUACCAGCCACAUCAUGUAUCCCCUUUAGCCCUUCACCAGCCGCCACCUCAUGCCAGUGACUUGUAUAUUCCCUAAUCCCUCUUUUAGUCACUCUAGUUUUCAUUUCUAUCCUCUAUGAGUCACGUAGUCAUCUUUUUUUCUGUUAUGAUUAUAUACUGUAUCCUAACCAUAUCUAACAGUCAGUGAUUAAUGGUGAUGAUGAUAAUAAUAAUAAUAAUAAUGAUGAAACUACGGAAACCAAUCAGUCUCGCUCGCCCCCUCACAUUUGCCGUUGCUUCUCCUUGUCUGUUCUGCUCCAUAUUUCAGGCAUUUUCCUCUUUGGCUGAAGCGUCCUCCUUGGUUCUAUACUUCAGGAAAACUAUUCAUAUUUACACCAAUCUAUCAGUCUGCCUUCCUGUCCACCAACCAAUACCACUGGCUAAUAUCCGUAACCUCGCCACUUAUAUUACUCUCUAUGGAAUCAGUUACCCAACGAGAUUGUCCUUUCUGCAGACAUUUCUACAUUUAAGUCUCGUGUGAAUGUCUUAUUGAAACAGUAAUUUAAUUUUUCCUCCUUUUGGCUUUGACUGGAGUUUCUUAACUAUUCAUUGCCUUUGCUUCUCUCCGGUACCUUUUGGUAUUUUAUGGGGUUCAACUUGUUGUAUCUGCACCCUGAAGGGAGGCUUUGGUAGCUUAUCAUCAUAAUAAUAACAAUAAUAUGGCUACCUCUUCUCUUCCUAUGCCACCUUGUAACCUCUCUCUCCGCCACCUACUUUCCAUGCGUCGCAGCUUCCAACUACGCACACCACGCCUGACCCAUUUCUUUAUCUCCGCCUAACACAACUAACACCUUACCAUAGCAUUGGGUAACUCGCCCCUUCGCUGUGUCAAGUACUCGAUCUUACUCUUUACCAAUCCUGCAUCCUUGACCUUUUUUUUCUCUCUCCUUCUUCCUGCCUCGUUAGUAAGAAUGUCAUCGCAAAUUAAAUGAGUGUAUAGGCCUACCUUCAUUUUUUUUUCAUACCUGCUCACCUGAAAAACCUUAGUUAGGACAUUUUUACAUUUCGUCUUGCUGGAGAUUUAGAUUUUUUAACGUAAACUGACUUAUUUUACUCUACGGAAGCUUAACACCCAUCCCCCAUCCACCUGCACCCAUCAUCCACUCAACACAUCCAUUUCAUCCUACAUCCAGCUAAUGGCAAUAUGAUCACCACUUCUCCAUACUCUUACAACUUGUGAUCUAUCCUUUUUACUUUAUCAUCUACUCUGAUCUGUCUCUCUUUUUCCAACAUCCAGCAAACAUUAUAUACCAGCCCAUCCUCAGUGCCUCUGUAAGCAUCUCAUAAGCAAGUAAUUGUACUCUCAAGGUUAUCCAAGUACACUUCCACUAAUCUUCUGCGACAGCCACCAUUUCUGUUCGUCGUGUCCUCUCUAUCCAACUUGCGACCUAUCCUUUCUUUGAUCUACCCAUUGUGUGCUUGGCCAUAUCCAAAUCCGUUUUCAUUACCCAUACUAGUAACCGUUACCUAUCCUCUGUGAUCCAUCCCUUUAUCCUACUCAUUCUGUACUCACCUAUUUCCAAAAACCACUGUCACCAUAAGAAAAUAUUUACCGUACACCAUAACCCCCAUCACCAUAGGAAAGUGUGGCUUGGGGUAGGGUAGGGAGGCAGGGAUAGGUCAGUAGUUGGGAAGGAUAGGGAGGCAGGGAUAGGUCAGUAGUUGGGAAGGAUAGGGAGGCAGGGAUAGGUCAGUAGUUGGGAAGGAUAGGGAGGCAGGGUUAGGUCAGUAGUUGGGAAGGAUAGGGAGGCAGGGAUAGGUCAGUAGUUGGGAAGGAUAGGGAGGCAGGGAUAGGUCAGUAGUUGGGAAGGAUAGGGAGGCAGGGAUAGGUCAGUAGUUGGGAAGGAUAGGGAGGCAGGGAUAGGUCAGUAGUUGGGAAGGAUAGGGAGGCAGGGAUAGGUCAGUAGUUGGGAAGGAUAGGGAGGCAGGGAUAGGUCAGUAGUUGGGAAGGAUAGGGAGGCAGGGAUAGGUCAGUAGUUGGGAAGGAUAGGGAGGCAGGGAUAGGUCAGUAGUUGGGAAGGAUAGGGAGGCAGGGAUAGGUCAGUAGUUGGGAAGGAUAGGGAGGCAGGGAUAGGUCAGUAGUUGGGAAGGAUAGGGAGGCAGGGAUAGGUCAGUAGUUGGGAAGGAUAGGGAGGCAGGGAUAGGUCAGUAGUUGGGAAGGAUAGGGAGGCAGGGAUAGGUCAGUAGUUGGGAAGGAUAGGAAGGCAGGGAUAGGUCAGUAGUUGGGAAGGAUAGGGAGGCAGGGAUAGGUCAGUAGUUGGGAAGGAUAGGGAGGCAGGGAUAGGUCAGUAGUUGGGAAGGAUAGGGAGGCAGGGAUAGGUCAGUAGUUGGGAAGGAUAGGGAGGCAGGGAUAGGUCAGUAGUUGGGAAGGAUAGGGAGGCAGGGAUAGGUCAGUAGUUGGGAAGGAUAGGGAGGCAGGGAUAGGUCAGUAGUUGGGAAGGAUAGGGAGGCAGGGAUAGGUCAGUAGUUGGGAAGGAUAGGGAGGCAGGGAUAGGUCAGUAGUGUGGGUAAGGAAUGAGAGGGAGAGCGAGAUAAGUCCUUGAAUGAAAACACCAUCAACUAUGACCCCGACCAUCAACUUCAACUUAACAACCAUCAUUUCUUUAGUGUUAUUCCCUUUAACUAUCCAUUGCAUACUCCUCUAUAUCCUGAUCUCCUUUCACUUCACAUACUAUUAACUAUUUACCAUAACCACAACUAAUACCAUUGUCCAAAAAAAACAAAAAAAAGCUCGUCCACCUUCGCCCACCUUUCUAACGCUCACAGGUAACAUCAUUUCCUAUCCGUCGCCGUAGACUUCCGGGCCGUAGGUGAGCCGCGUGUUCCGACUACCUGGCGCCACUCACUGACUCGAGCGGUCGGUCUGUGUUAAGACUAUCGGCUCGCCCCAGAUACGUUAGGGCCAUAUUUUAAGUUUGGUUCCCAUAAACACACAUUCGACUGUUUUCGUAGGAAUUUCGGGCAUUUUCAGGGGUAGUUUUACGACUGGUGGUAGUUUGAUCCUUCUGUACCAUGAAUCUAAAAUACCACUCAUGAGAACGGAUAUUUUUUUUUUUUAAGCUUUUGGGAAUAGUCGAUGUGAGGGGCCCCCAAGUCAUAAUACCCCUAAAUAUGUAGCUAUUUAUAGUAAUCAUUGGUCCCUUAAUCCCAUUUUUAUAGUGUCCUUGAAGCCUCCACCCAGCAACUCAACUAAAAUUUGUUUGUAGAGUAACAGCUAAUUAUAGACCAGCGGUAGACAAGUGAGCAGUGUUGUUAUCCAGUGUCUAAUUUUGUCUCUUGCCUCAACCUCACCCUUCUUGUCUCCUGCCUCAACCUCACCCUUAUAACAGUAACCUAUCCCAACCCGCCAGCUUCUCCGCUCUCCCCUACCCUGUCCAACUACUGCUGCCGCCACGAAGAACCGGUUUUGUAGGGGUGAAUCACUAGCAUAGUAGCUGACGCCGGUCUGUCGGGCCUUUUGUUAGUGUGUGUGUGUGUGUGUGUGUGUGUGUGUGUGUGUGUGUGUGUGUGUGUGUGUGUGUG